rnacentral:rRNA from 1 species
UACGGAGAGUGCAAGCGUUGUUCGGAAUUAUUGGGCGUAAAGCGCGUGUAGGCGGUCUGACAAGUCUGGCGUGAAAGCCUGGGGCUCAACCUCAGAAGUGCGCUGGAAACUGUCAGACUUGAGUACCGGAGGGGAAGGCGGAAUUCUCGAGUGUAGAGGUGAAAUUCGUAGAUAUUCGGAAGAACAUCAGUGGCGAAGGCGGCCUUCUGGACGGAUACUGACGCUGAGACGCGAAAGCGUGGGGAGCAAACAGG